rnacentral:lncRNA from 1 species
GAAGAUGUUUUAAUUUCCCAUAAUACAGAUGCAGUAGGAAGGAUCACGCAUGUUCAUACCAAGAGAAUUACUACAUGACUCUGCUGAUGGUAAGAUAUGAAGUUCAUUGCAAUAUCACUACAACUAAUAGCAUCAUAUUGUCCUUUUAUGUUUGCUGUAAAAUGUGAUACUGCAUUUCAUUGUAAAUCGGAACGUUUGACUUAUUUGAAUUUCUACGGCUAUCUAGAUGCGAAAAUAUGUAAUUGGCUGCCUCCUGAAUAUCAGAUACGCUUG